rnacentral:rRNA from 1 species
CUCGCCGUUACUGAGGGAUGAAAAAAAAUAAAAAGUUUCCCCCCCGUGAUAAUUUUUUUAAAACGGCCCCGGGUUCUACCCGCGCAAAGGUAGUAUAAACACUUCUCAAUAAUUGGGGGCGAGAAAGAGUGGAAUAAAAAAAAUGUUUUCCUUUUUUUAAAAAUAAAUAUUAAUUUUUAAGUGAAGAAGCUGAAUAAGUUCGAAAGACAAGAAGCCCCUAUAGAGCUUUUUUUUGAAAAUAUAUUUUUUUUUAUAUAAUUGGUGGGGCGACCUAGGGUUAAAUUUUCCCCCUAUAUGAAAAGAUAUAUUUAUCUAUAUAAAUGAUCCUAAAAAUAGAUCAUAAGAAUAAGCUACCUUAGGGAUAACAGGCUAAUCCUAUUUGAAAGUUCUUAUUAAAAAUAGGGUUUGGCACCUCGAUGUUGGCUUAGGGAUUCUUAAUGGCGCAAAAGUCAUAGAAG